UACGGGGGGGGGCAAGCGUUUGUUCGGAAUUACUGGGCGUAAAGGGUGCGUAGGCGGCGCGGUAAGUCGGGUGUGAAAUCUCGGGGCUUAACUCCGAAACUGCAUUCGAUACUGCCGUGCUUGAGGACUGGAGAGGAGACUGGAAUUUACGGUGUAGCGGUGAAAUGCGUAGAUAUCUGGAGGAACACCGGUGGCGAAGGCGGCAUCCUGGACCAACACUGACGCUGAGGAGCGAAAGCCAGGGGAGCAAACGGG
rnacentral:rRNA from 1 species